UACGAAGGGGGCAAGCGUUGUUCGGAAUUACUGGGCGUAAAGGGCGCGUAGGCGGUGCACUAAGUCAGGCGUGAAAGCCCUGGGCUCAACCCGGGAAUUGCGCUUGAUACUGGUGCGCUUGAAUCCAGGAGAGGUUGGUGGAAUUCCCAGUGUAGAGGUGAAAUUCGUAGAUAUCUGGAGGAACACCGGUGGCGAAGGCGGCGUCCUGGACCAACACUGACACUGAUGAGCGAAAGCCAGGGGAGCAAACGGG
rnacentral:rRNA from 1 species